UACGUAGGGGGCAAGCGUUGUCCGGAUUUAUUGGGCGUAAAGAGCGUGUAGGCGGCCACACAGGUCUGCUGUGAAAACUCGAGGCUCAACCUCGAGCUGUCGGUGGAAACCGUGUGGCUAGAGUCCGGAAGAGGAGAGUGGAAUUCCCGGUGUAGCGGUGAAAUGCGUAGAUAUCAGGAGGAACACCGGUGGUGUAGACGGCUAUCUGGACCGUAACUGACGCUGAGGCACGAAAGCGUGGGUAGCAAACAGG
rnacentral:rRNA from 1 species